GCGGAUGUGGCGGAAUUGGCAGACGCGCCAGACUUAGGAUCUGGUGCCGUAAGGCGUGGGGGUUCAAGUCCCUUCAUCCGCACCA
rnacentral:tRNA from 1 species